UCCCCCCCGUCCCCCGGAGGCUGGGACUUCCGGCGUAGCUUGGACGCAGCCAGAAAGCUCGCGGUGUAGCCUGAUGUCGGCGCUGCGGCACGUCGUGUGCGCCCUGUCUGGCGGUGUGGACAGCGCGGUGGCGGCGCUGCUGUUGCGGCGGAGAGGUUACCAGGUGACAGGGGUAUUUAUGAAGAACUGGGACUCGCUGGAUGAGCAGGGCGUUUGUGCUGCUGACAAGGACUGUGAAGAUGCGUAUAAAGUUUGUCAGAUCUUAGACAUCCCUUUCCACCAGGUGUCCUAUGUGAAGGAGUAUUGGAAUGAUGUGUUCAGUGACUUUUUGAACGAGUAUGAGAAAGGAAGGACUCCAAACCCCGACAUCAACUGCAAUAAGCAUAUCAAGUUCAGUUGCUUUUAUCACUAUGCUGUGGACAAUCUUGGAGCAGAUGCCGUUGCCACUGGCCACUACGCCAGGACCUCACUGGAGGAUGAGGAAGUCUUUGAGCAAAAGCACACUAAGAAGCCUGACGGGCUGUUCAGAAAUCGAUUUGAAGUCAGAAACCCCGUAAAACUUCUCCAAGCAGCUGACAGCUUUAAAGACCAGACCUUCUUUCUCAGCCAGGUUUCCCAGGAUGCCCUGAGAAGGACCAUCUUUCCCCUGGGGGAACUAACAAAAGAUUUUGUAAAGAAAAUAGCCGCGGAGAAUAGCCUCCAUCACGUGCUUCAGAAGAGAGAGAGCAUGGGCAUCUGCUUCAUUGGUAAGAGAAACUUGGAGCAUUUCCUUCUUCAGUAUUUGCAGCCUCGGCCUGGAAAGUUUGUUUCUAUCGAGGAUAAUACAGUUCUGGGAACACACAAAGAUUCAGAGCUGGAGUGAGACUGUGUCUGUGAUACAUUACUAAGAGAUGCUGUAGCAGACUGUAGGAAGUGCCGCUGGAGAAAGAACAUAGCUGACCUCAGAGCCAGGUGACUGAGGAGCACAUGGGUGCCGUUCACGUAAUCACAGAGCCAGACAACCAUGAUGCACUGUGCAGAGUGAGGACAGAGGCAGUCAGUCGCAAGUGCUCACACCCUUAAGUGGGAACAGAGGCGACAUGCCUCCUGAGACUUGAUGUCUAGCCUGAACUGUGGGACUAGCUGGAAGGACAGGGCUUGUGGAGGAAGCAGGGAGAGACCCAGCUGAACUGGGUGUUAUAUUGACCUUGCUGGAGACAGUGCUGCUCUUCCUAGCAUCCAGCGGUUAGGAGGUGGAUGAAUCCUGCCAGAUUGCCUCUGCCAGGGCACACGCAUUCCUGUGGAGGUAGAGCUGGGGAGCAGGUGGCCUGCCCGUGCAUGAGGUGGGUGUGGCAUGGAUACAAGGAAUGUGCUCAGUAAGCACAAGACCUGUUUGGAGAGCUGUGCCCAUGGAGGUCAGAGCCACCAGAUGAAAGAGCUAGCAUCUGUGUCAGGCUUAGUGUCAUCCUAGUCACUGUCACAUCCCUCGAGACCUGAAGCCAAGGCAGGCUGUACACAGGUGUAUGGUUAGGGCUAAGCCAGCACGCCUCGUAGCAAUCCAUAACCUCCCCAUUUGUGAGAGCUGAGAUGCACCCCUGGAAUACUAUUUCAUAGGUUGGUUCCUGUACACUUUGGGCCAGAGAGCUAAGAUCAGCGGCUUGAGAGAGCCCUGGUACGUGGUGGAGAAGGAUGGCACCAAGGGUGACGUGCUUGUGGCUCCCCGGGUGGACCACCCAGCUCUGUACAGGGACCUGCUCAGGACCAACCGAGUACACUGGAUUGCGGAGGAGCCACCUGCUGCCUUGGUCAGAGACAAGAUGAUGGAGUGCCAUUUCCGAUUCCGCCACCAGAUGGCACUAGUGCCCUGCGUGCUGACUCUCAAUCAGGAUGGCACUGUGUGGGUAACGGCUGUGAAGGCUGUGAGGGGCCUUGCCCUGGGACAGUUUGCAGUGUUCUACAAGGGUGAGGAGUGCCUCGGCAGUGGGAAAAUCCUGCGGCUAGGGCCGUCUGCCUACACACUCCAGAAGGGUAAGAACAGAACUCGAGUGGCUCCCGAGGCCUCCAGUGACAGCCCAGGCCUGCACCCCACAUCCUGACAAAGGCCAAGGAGGAGGCAUUAGAGCAGAGUCGUCAGUGAUGGGUGUUAGUGCUGCCAGAAUCAAUAGGCGGGCUGGCUGCAGAGGAAGGAGGGUCUACGCUGCUGCUCCAGGAAACCAGAGCGUGUGCUGGCUGUGGGCCCUGAUGCAGCUGCUCUUCCACAGCAUCCAGGAGGCCAAUGGAGAAACCGCAUCAAAUAAAACUGUCAAAGUCUGA